rnacentral:rRNA from 1 species
UACGGAGGGUGCGAGCGUUGUUCGGAAUUACUGGGCGUAAAGCGUGCGCAGGCGGUUGAUUAAGUCUGAUGUGAAAGCCCCGGGCUCAACCUGGGAAUGGCAUUGGAAACUGGUCAGCUGGAGUGUGGCAGAGGGGGGUGGAAUUCCGCGUGUAGCAGUGAAAUGCGUAGAGAUGCGGAGGAACACCGAUGGCGAAGGCAGCCCCCUGGGCCAACACUGACGCUCAGGCACGAAAGCGUGGGGAGCAAACAGG